AGUCCUGCCUGUAUACAAGGGACAGAGCCUGAGAGCAAAUUCUCCCCUAUUGGCAAGUUCACUGAGUAUGUAGCUCUGUGCACUGAGCUACUAUGGUAGCAGCCCCAGCAAACUCUCCAGGAUCCAUACACAGCAACUCUUAAUACAACAGCAUAUUUUCUCUUGUAUCAGGGCAUGAAAGGUCUCAAAUGUUCUGACGUGGACCUGGAACGCAGCUCCCCAAGCAGCAGACAUAUAGUUCUUGAACAGACUGCCUGGACCAUGGUCUGAGGGCCCCCACUGCCCACUCCAAUCUUCCCUGGACCUUUGAAUGAAAUCACAGGAGGAGGCAGUGUAUGUGUAGCUGCCCAAUAUCAAGUGUCACUGUUGUCUGCUGUCACCCAAAAGGUAUGGUGGGUGGAGGCUGGGGAUUUAGCUCAGUGGCAUAAGCGCCUGCCUUGCAAGUGUGUGGUCCUGA